GAGUGAGCUGGGCUGGAGUCCUCACUCCUGGCAUGACACCAAGUUCACCAACAACCACCCUGAACUAACGGCCUCACGGUUCCCCUCCGCCAGCUGCUGCCCUUCCUGGCCUGGCUGUCACCACUGGAGUUCUUCCUCCCACAACCUAUCCAGUUCCUGGGAGCAUACAAAUCUACAGUGUACCUUGGAUCACUUCAGCUCCCUGGGGAGUCUCGACAGCCUGGACCCCUCUGGGCGCCUCUUGGUGGCCAAGUCCAACAGCAACAUCGACCACCUGGGCAGCCACAGCAAGUGUGACUCUGCCUAUGGCUCCUUCUCCACCAGCAGUAGCACUCCUGACCACACCUUGUCCAAGGCCGAAGCCUCCUCUGCAGAGAACAUCCUCUACAGCCUGGGCCUCUGGGAGACUCCCAGGCAGGGCAGCCAGCAGGCACAGGCCACAGGGGCCCCCCAGGGCUUGGAGGAGAGGCCUGGGUGUUUCCUGCCUGUGGUUCUUGGUGACAGUGCCAGAGGCCCCAGGCCAGAGUACAAUGCCGAGCCCAAGCUAGCUGUCCCUGGGAUGUUCAAUUUUGGGCCAAUCUUGUAUGUUCCUUAUAAGGAGAAGGCACCAGCUUCCCCCUUCCUCCCGCUUCCCCUCUGCACAGUGACAGCUUUGCUGCCACCAAGAGCCUUGAGAAGGCCCAGGGCCCUGUGCUUGUAGAGGUGACCAUAGCACAGCACGUUAUGACCCCAGCCCAGCCUCAGCCCUGCAGCGACUGGAGACCAGAGCCCACCAAUUAGCUGUGGAGGCCAGGGAACCGGGGAGCUUGGGGAAGGGAGCAGGAGGCACAGGCUGCCCACAGGAGGCUCAUGCAGACUGCAGCUGGCCAUCUACCAAGGACGGAGCUUCAAGUAGGCUGCAGGCCUCUCUAUCCAGCUCACACAUGCACUUCCCGCAGUCUCCCCAUGGCAGCUGUCACCCUCUUACAGUGACUACAGCCCACUCUGUGCUGACAGCCUCGGGCAGGAGCCAGCAGCCGUUGGCUCCCAGGACAACAGCUCUCCUCACCUGAGCCAGAGCCCACAGCAUCACCUACCUCAGCCCAAGGGUUCUCUGGAUGCCUGUGAGACAUGACAGUGUUACCCACUGGACACAGUCUGGGUUGUCCCACAGGAGCCCAGGAGCCUCCCAGGGCUAGCCAUGCCGAAAAAGCCAGCCAACUGCCAGCAGCCGGCUUCACAUGGGCAGACAUGGAGAGCAGCAGGAUCUCCCCUCAGGAGAUACCCCUGUUGCACUCCCUGACCCAGGAGAGGAAGUGUUGGCCACAGAGCAGCCAGGAGGGCAGCUCCAAGAGGCCACCACCAUUUGAUGCCCAGGUGGACAAGCCCACUUGGAGAAGAGACCACUUUUCCACCACCUUACAGAAUGAGAUCCAGAUGCAUAGAGCCAAGCUGCAGAAGAACUGGAGAACAGUGGCUCUGACUACAGUAGGUGACACAGAGGAUGCCACUGAUCGCUGGAGGGCAGGGUUGGGAGGUGGCACCCAGGAAGGACCCAUUGCUGCUCCUAUAAAGACCACCUGAAGGAGACCCAAGCAUGGGUCCUGAGGGCCACUUCAAGUGCUAUGACUUGGACCCCAGCCCAGAAGACCCUUACCCAGAGUCACUGGAACACCAGACAAAAGAUCUGGAUGCUGCCCCCACUUCUAGGAGGCAGGCGUGGCCCAGCUGCCCUCAUCUGCAGGUUGCGGGUGGUCCCACCCGUCCUGCAUCAGAGCCUGAAGACAGUUCAUGGCUGAGCAGAAACUGAAGUCCUACUCAAAACCUGAGAUGAACAUGGUGGGCCUCACAGAGGGCAGCUGUGGUCCUUACCAGUAUCUCAGGACAUCUGAGGAUACCAUGGCACGUUUGCCCACAGGUGCAAGUUUUUUGAGGAAGUGGGCAAACUCAUUCCCCAGAGGCCUGCACAGAGGCAAGCUCUUCAGGGGGUCCUCAGAGACAAGCCGGAGAGGUCACGGACAGUGGACCGCACAUGUGAGGGCAUCGAACCCUGGUCGCACACUACCUCCCUUGUGGAAAGCCUCAACAGUCACAGCACAGCAGAGAAAGCAGGGAUGUUGGACGUCUUGGCACCUUUGCAGAGUAUCAGGCCUUCUGGAAGGAACAGAGGAAGCCUCUGGAGGCUAGGAGCUCUGGGCGCUGCCACUAGGCAGAUGAGAUCCUAGAAGUGGGCCUGGACCAGAAGGAGAGGCCACAACACAUUCACAAGAGGUCCUGGUUGCCCUCCAUACACCACUACAAGCUGGAUGCUUCCGUCAAACUGCGAAGGCAGGCAGAGGACCCCGGCAAGCACAUAGAAGAGCUUCCCUCUGCAGUCUGGGCCAAAGAGGAAUAGUCCAUGCCGA
rnacentral:lncRNA from 1 species